UGGGGGGUGGUGGCGGGGGCGGGGGGUGGGGAGCGAGCAUUAAUCAAAACAUCGAAGUGAGCCCCACCAUGCCUACGUGUACAAAUAGCUGUUGAUGGCUUUGCCAUGCUUACUGAACUGAGCAGACCCAGGCAGCCCCAAAUCAGAGCCUGCCCUCCGGCAAGGGCUCCCGGACCUCUUCACAGGUGAAGUCCACCGAGACCCGGAAAGGUGAUGUGAUGUGCCAGUGAUCUUCCUUGCAGCCAGUGCCGGGUUUCUUAAGAGCACUGGAGUACCUCUUGAAUGAUGUGGGAAUUCCUCUAACGCCACUGAUGUGGUGGUCCCUUUAGGGUAGGAUAUGCCACAGUCUUUUUUUUUUUUUUCCUUCUUGUUGUCUAGCUUAUCCAAAUACGAUUUAACGUAGGGAAAAGUAAGUGAACAGAAAGGAAGAUGAGGCAGGUCUCAUAUAUCUGGGCUUUAGAUUAACAUAGCCUCAUGGACCAGU
rnacentral:lncRNA from 1 species